UCCGGUUUAACACCGGCAGUCUCCUCAGAGUCCCCAACUCAAUGCUGGUAACUAAGGACAAGGGUUGCGCUCGUUAUCGGACUUAACCGGACAUCUUACGACACGAGCUGACGACAGCCAUGCAGCACCUAUCUCCACGUCCCCGAAGGGAAAGCCACAUCUCUGUGGUUGUCGUGGGAUGUUAAGGGUAGGUAAGGUUCUGCGCGUUGCUUCGAAUUAAACCACAUACUCCACCGCUUGUGCGGGCCCCCGUCAAUUCCUUUGAGUUUUAGCCUUGCGACCGUACUCCCCAGGCGGGAUACUUAAUGCGUUAGCUUUAGUACUCAGGAGAUUAACUUCCCGAACACCUAGUAUCCAUCGUUUACGGCGUGGACUAC
rnacentral:misc_RNA from 1 species